CAGUGGAGUAAUAGGCGAGUUUCGUCAGAGAGCCACCUGUGGGAGGAACAAAAAGGUUUCUGCAGUCUCACGUGAGAUAAAUAAAUCCAUCAGUCAACUAUUGACAACUCAGCCACUCUGGCGCAGCGGUCAAAUUAGCUGGUUAGUUAGCUAGUUAGCAAUUUUAGAAACCUGUAGCUUACUAGCCCAUAAACAAACGCUAAUUAGCCAGCUAACAUUUAUGUGGCGAAGGUAACUUCGCAACUACUGGUAGCUAACUACAGUACUUAAAUCAGCUAGUUUAGCUAGCCAGCCACACGUCGUUGCUUGCUAGCCUCUUGUGUGCCUGCUGUGUUGUCAAAGUAACAAGACAAGUGAAUAUAUUCAAGUAGCGAUCUAAAUAUUAACUUAGUUUAUACCUAUGUCUAUUGCGAACCUCUUUGCAUUUUCCAAAUUCCUGAAGAUCUCAUUGGGUGGAAGAGUUAUGCUUUUAUCCAUGCUGUGACUACUCCUGUCUACUCUCUCACUUUCCGCCGCCAUCUUGUGUUGCGCAAUGACGUUCAGGUACAAAUAAAUAAUAAUCCCUCAAUGGAAAAAUCUCUGGGGCGUUCAGGAGGACGCCACGUUUUGGAACGUUCAGACAUGUAGAACAAUGAAUUGGUUCUAUUCAAGGGAUUUCUAUCUGCAACGUUCGAUAACGUUUGGCAACUGAACAUGGCCCCGGAUUUCUGUGAUAAUGUGGCAGCAGAUCUGGGAGUCACCACUUUCCCAGAUUCACACAGCGCUCUGUGAGUGACUCUCCAUCACCCUACACCCCUCCACCUGUUCCCCUGAGAUGUGACCAUUGUCCCCCAGCAAUAAGAACACUGAGCAUGUGGCAGCUCCACAUUCCUCGUUGUCCUCCCAAGCUCACCCAUUGGCUACAGACUGUGAGAUUCUCCUACAAGCCCAAGACACACACAUUCAUAUGCAGAUUUGGGACUAUAUAUAGGAGAUGAAGCCAGUAGAAAUCUGAUUAUCUCUACACAAAGACCUCUACAACACAUAGAUCCAGCCACGACACCUUCAAUCACUUCAGCAAUGAUCUACUCUAAGGAGCACCUGACUCUGACCAACCAGGAAACAGCAGAGGGAACAUCCCCCUAUCCACAUCGAUGGGACAGUAGUGGAGAGGG